CGGCAACAGCUCAAAUUUGAAAUCUGGCGCAAGCCCGAGUUGUAAUUUGUAGAGGAUGUUUCGGGUAAGAUCCAGGUCUAAGUUCCUUGGAACAGGACGUCAUAGAGGGUGAGAAUCCCGUACGUGACCAUGGAUCGCACCCGUGUGAAACUCCUUCGAC
rnacentral:rRNA from 1 species